rnacentral:antisense_RNA from 1 species
UUAACAAACAAUUGUGUUUAUUGACAAGUUCAUACAUCAGUACAAACGGGCACGUUAAAAACCCCCCGCCCCAUGCAGCCGAGGAGGAGGCGGGAAGCGCCGCGACCUACACAAAGUAGAAAAGUUAUAAAUAAGGGGCUUUCAAAACUGGGCGGGGGCAAAUCUGGAGUGGGGCGGCGGUUGCCGGUGGCCUCAGACAUGCAGAAGGGGACGGGGGGAUGUUCCAACACAGGCUUCUGACUGAGCAUCACUCAGGAUGCAGGGAGAAGGUGGCCUCUGGGCCAGCAGCCGGCUGGGGUCCAGGGUGGAGGACAGGGAAGAACAAGGGGCUGAGGAAAGGAGGCCGGAGCUUCAUGUCUGCCCAGGUGAGGGCUUACUGUCCUGCAGCAACAUCCCACAGCUGGCUCAAGUUCUGGCCUGGAGAGUAAGGGGUCACAGGGAAAUACAAUGCUGGGCCCCUCUUGGAGGGAGAAUGGGAGUGGAAUGUGCGGGCUCAGGUCCAAAUACC